rnacentral:rRNA from 1 species
AUGAACGCUAGCUACAGGCUUAACACAUGCAAGUCGAGGGGCAGCAUUUCAGUUUGCUUGCAAACUGGAGAUGGCGACCGGCGCACGGGUGAGUAACACGUAUCCAACCUGCCGAUAACUCGGGGAUAGCCUUUCGAAAGAAAGAUUAAUACCUGAUGGUAUAAUUAGACCGCAUGGUCUUGUUAUUAAAGAAUUUCGGUUAUCGAUGGGGAUGCGUUCCAUUAGGCAGUUGGUGAGGUAACGGCUCACCAAACCUUCGAUGGAUAGGGGUUCUGAGAGGAAGGUCCCCCACAUUGGAACUGAGACACGGUCCAAACUCCUACGGGAGGCAGCAGUGAGGAAUAUUGGUCAAUGGGCGCAGGCCUGAACCAGCCAAGUAGCGUGAAGGAUGACUGCCCUAUGGGUUGUAAACUUCUUUUAUAUGGGAAUAAAGUUUUCCACGUGUGGAAUUUUGUAUGUACCAUAUGAAUAAGGAUCGGCUAACUCCGUGCCAGCAGCCGCGGUAAUACGGAGGAUCCGAGCGUUAUCCGGAUUUAUUGGGUUUAAAGGGAGCGUAGGUGGACAGUUAAGUCAGUUGUGAAAGUUUGCGGCUCAACCGUAAAAUUGCAGUUGAUACUGGCUGUCUUGAGUACAGUAGAGGUGGGCGGAAUUCGUGGUGUAGCGGUGAAAUGCUUAGAUAUCACGAAGAACUCCGAUUGCGAAGGCAGCUCACUGGACUGCAACUGACACUGAUGCUCGAAAGUGUGGGUAUCAAACAGGAUUAGAUACCCUGGUAGUCCACACAGUAAACGAUGAAUACUCGCUGUUUGCGAUAUACAGUAAGCGGCCAAGCGAAAGCAUUAAGUAUUCCACCUGGGGAGUACGCCGGCAACGGUGAAACUCAAAGGAAUUGACGGGGGCCCGCACAAGCGGAGGAACAUGUGGUUUAAUUCGAUGAUACGCGAGGAACCUUACCCGGGCUUAAAUUGCAGUUGAAUAUAUUGGAAACAGUAUAGCCGUAAGGCAAAUGUGAAGGUGCUGCAUGGUUGUCGUCAGCUCGUGCCGUGAGGUGUCGGCUUAAGUGCCAUAACGAGCGCAACCCUUAUCUUUAGUUACUAACAGGUCAUGCUGAGGACUCUAGAGAGACUGCCGUCGUAAGAUGUGAGGAAGGUGGGGAUGACGUCAAAUCAGCACGGCCCUUACGUCCGGGGCUACACACGUGUUACAAUGGGGGGUACAGAAGGCAGCUACCUGGUGACAGGAUGCUAAUCCCAAAAGCCUCUCUCAGUUCGGAUCGAAGUCUGCAACCCGACUUCGUGAAGCUGGAUUCGCUAGUAAUCGCGCAUCAGCCAUGGCGCGGUGAAUACGUUCCCGGGCCUUGUACACACCGCCCGUCAAGCCAUGAAAGCCGGGGGUACCUGAAGUACGUAACCGCAAGGAGCGUCCUAGGGUAAAACUGGUGAUUGGGGCU